rnacentral:rRNA from 1 species
GGACCAGACUCCUACGGGAGGCAGCAGUGGGGAAUAUUGCACAAUGGGGGAAACCCUGAUGCAGCGACGCCGCGCGAGUGAAGAAGUAUUUCGGUAUGUAAAGCUCUAUCAGCAGGGAAGAAAAUGACGGUACCUGAUUAAGAAGCCCCGGCUAACUCCGUGCCAGCAGCCGCGGUAAUACGGAGGAUGCGAGCGUUAUCCGGAUUUAUUGGGUUUAAAGGGUGCGCAGGCGGGCUGUUAAGCCGGCGGUAAAAAUUCAGGGCUCAACCCUGUCGAGCCGUCGGAACUGGCAGUCUUGAGUGGGCGAGAAGUAUGCGGAAUGCGUGGUGUAGCGGUGAAAUGCAUAGAUAUCACGCAGAACGCCGAUUGCGAAGGCAGCAUACCGGCGCCCAACUGACGCUGAGGCACGAAAGCGUGGGGAUCGAACAGGAUUAGAUACCCCAGUAA